UUUUAUAUGAGAGUUUGAUCCUGGCUCAGGAUGAACGCCGGCGGUGUGCCUAAUACAUGCAAGUCGAACGCGUUGGCCCAAUUGAUUGAUGGUGCUUGCACCUGAUUGAUUUUGGUCGCCAACGAGUGGCGGACGGGUGAGUAACACGUAGGUAACCUGCCCAGAAGCGGGGGACA
rnacentral:rRNA from 1 species